CAGUUCUAUCAAUCCAGCUUCUUCAGGAUGAUGGGGAACAUGGGUCCCACAAUAGGCCAUCUGUAAGCCGAGGAGCAAGGAAGCCAGUUGAAGUCCCAAAGCUGAAGAGCUUGGAGUCCAAUGUUUGAGGGCAUGGAACAUCCAGCACUGGAGAAAGAGCUCCUGAAAUCGUUUGGGUAAGCAAUUGCUGAUUUUAGUCAAAUUCCCUCACCUCACAAAAAGGCUGGAGUGCAGUGACGUGAACUCGGCUUACUGUAACCUCUGCCCCCACCAGGUUCAAGCAAUUCUCGUACCUCAGCCUCCCAAGUAGCUGGGAUUACAGUGAAGUUUCUGAAAAGUAAUACAGCAGGCAAAUAAAAUCUGCAGGAGACAGCAGAAGGAAAAGCAAUUAUUCUGAAUAAUCUACACAUAAGUUGCUGUAACUUCUCACCUGGAUUCCAGAGCUCUCAUGAAGAAAUAUGAUUUUGUUUGAUAUUUACCACCCCCUUCAAUUUUGAGGAGCGAUUACUUCCAAAGGAGGCAUGUAUGCUGAGUUGUUCUUUGACUCAUCUAUAAAGGUAUUGCAAAAAGGCCUCAUAUGUCCGCUCUAUAAUUGUACAGUUCUCCCGCUAAUGGCAUGAGUUAGUCUAAUACAGAAAUGGAUUAUUAACAGAACAACCUAGCCUUACAUUUAAAUUUACCUUUGACAAUUAAUCAUAAUUGGAAAUAAACAUGAUGUGCAUUGAAUGAACUGACUUGAACGACUGACUGCAGAGUCAUGGUACAGAAAAUGGGCUGGUUUCAGGGCCUGUAGAAACGUUACAAUGGAAUGAUAGAAUUAACAAUGUGCUAAAGACUUUCUAAGAUGUGAGAAAUUACCAGCUUUAAGAGGCAUAAAGGCUUUUAGCAAAUUGAGGGAAUUUGAAUUUCUAACAUCAAAAUGCAAUGUACAAAGGAGGAAAAAAUAUGACUCACCCAGCCCCCAAAUUUCAUAUUUAUAUCUCUGAUUGAAUCUGGUUUUAAAGGCGAAAUUUUAAAGGAAUAAAAGGCAA
rnacentral:lncRNA from 1 species